AUAAUUCAAAGUGUGCCAAAGUUUCUCAAAACACCCGAAACCCAUUAACCCACCCAAUCCCUUCGAGCCUAACGCCGUCCUCUUUCCUUUCAACCCUAAUUUCCUCAACGAGCUGAAGGCUGAAGCCAAAAAGAACGCCUCCACUCCACCGUCCUUACCACUAUCAGCAGCGGCAGUGGCCACCAGCCGUUGCCACCAUCGCCACUCGAAGCUUCUGUCGCGUCGUCGUCGUCGUCGUCGGGUGGUCCGUUUGAAGCUUCUGUCGCUGUCGUUAUCGUUGGGUGGUCCGUUUGAAGGUCGGGUCGUAGCUUCUGUCGUUGGUCGCCUCUGUCCUGCCGAGCAUCUCUCUGCCACUCUAGGCCGUCUCUGCUCUCUCUUUCUCGAAUUGCUGUAAUGCUGAAUGCUGAAUAGAAAACUUGUAUGUUCAAUUUUAGUUGAAAGCAAGUUUUUUAGUUCUGAAAAUUGAACCGGACUGACCGGUUCAACCGAGUUAACCAGUCAUGACAGUGGUUCAAUCAGCCUGAAAAACCGUGCAGCAAAAAAUCGAUCAAAUUAGCGGUUAACCGAUGAACCGGCAAAAUCGGUCGAUUUUUUAGAGAUCUUCCGGUUUGGACCCUCCCUUCCAAACGUCGCCGUUUUGACCUUUAAAAAAAAACCUAAAAUUUUCUAAUUUAUACCCGACGCAGCCCAGUCCCCCGUCUCAGUGUCCCGCUCAUCUCAUCUCCUCUCUCAAAAUUGAAAGAACAAAGAACGAAAGAAAAGAUGCGAAGAACCCUAGCGGCGUAGCCCCCCACCCCCCACAGCCCCGCAGAACCACAGCCACCGCAUCUCCUCAGCUCUGUUCGAGCGUUCUCUCUCUCUCUCUCUCUCUCUGUUUUCGCCGUUUGUCGCGCCGUCUCCUCUGUCGUCGCCGUCACUCUCCUUCCUCUUCGCCGCCGUGUCGAUCACCCCAUUCCUUUGUCUCCGGUUUGUCUACUUCACGGUUCGUCUACUUCGUCUCUGUCU